rnacentral:rRNA from 1 species
CUUGGUCAUUUAGAGGAAGUAAAAGUUGUAACAAGGUUUCCGUAGGUGAACCUGCGGAAGGAUCAUUAACAAAUCCAAAUAUUGUGUAUAGGGUUUUACUCUAUAUAACAAAUAUUAAACCGCCAAAAGAUGGAAACGUCUUUUGGUGUUUAUAUAUAAAUACAUGCUGUGUUGACAAGUGUGAGUGACUUUUAAAUUAUUGACAACUUUUAACAAUGGAUCUCUAGGCUCUUGCAACGAUGAAGAACGCAGCAAAGUGCGAAAAGUGAUGCGAUCUGCACGAAUCUUUGAGUCAUCUAAUAUUUGAACGCGAAUGGCACUGUUAUGUAAGUAACAGUAUGUCUGUUUGAGAAUCGCAAAAAACCGAUCAAUUCUAGUUAAGAAUUGGGAAUGACCUUAUAUCCAAGAUAUUUGGUUUAAAUUUAUUAGGUUGAUGAGCUUCCCAAUACGGCUCAAUGUGUGCUAGCGAGACAGUUGUCCCGAUCUCACAUUUCAGCUGUGUUGCAGAGUUCUAUGCACAACCUCUAAGUAACUAACCUUAUCAUAAACGAUCUCAAAUCAGGCAAGAUUACCCGCUGAACUUAAGCAUAUCAAUAAGCGGAGGA